UACGGAGGGGGCUAGCGUUGUUCGGAAUUACUGGGCGUAAAGCGCGCGUAGGCGGACCUGCAAGUCGGGGGUGAAAGCCCGAGGCUCAACCUCGGAACUGCCUUCGAUACUGCGGGUCUCGAGUCCGGGAGAGGUGAGUGGAAUUCCUAGUGUAGAGGUGAAAUUCGUAGAUAUUAGGAAGAACACCAGUGGCGAAGGCGGCUCACUGGCCCGGUACUGACGCUGAGGCGCGAAAGCGUGGGGAGCAAACAGGAUUGAG
rnacentral:rRNA from 1 species